CACCCCCUUAACCCUCCACCCUCCUCCUGCGCACGCGCAUAACACGAAGAGGUACACCACUGCCAAGCUGGUAGGCGAAAGGAAGCGAUCCGAGUAAUGCACGCGCUCGCUGUCGGGCUACUUCACCGCCGCCUCUUGGGUUGCGCUGGUCUUCACUCCGCGACUGCCGGACGUGUUUUGGCUGCAGGCGUUGACACUACAAGUCGGCGCUUCUACGCCGGGGACGCCUCACAUCCGCCCAGCACUUCCUCCGCGGCGUCCGGUGGUGCUUUCACUGAAGCAUGCAGUCGAGCAACGCGCGCGGACAGCGAGUCUGCCACUCGCUGCCACCCAACUGAUCAACCCAGAGAGGCGACGGGCGACUCGGCCGCAGAUGCCGCAGCGGCAUUCCUCUCUCCGCUCUCCUCACCGCCUCCGUCCACAGCGUCGGCGUCGGGCGCCUCUACUGUGGCUCCUCCCACAGGUGGCAGCAACGGCGACUUGGCGAUGCCAGACCCCGAGUCGGUACGGUGGGUGCAGCCGACCUACCAAGACGUAGACGCGCUCCCUAUCGUGGAUGCGAAGGGCGAAUACAUCGUGUCACGCGUGCAGUGGCCGACCGGCGAGGCCGCCUACCGCACCCCUGCCCCGGUAGACGACAAGCUUGCCCCACGCUUCGGCUAUAAUGUGGUGCAGGUGCGCAAGCACGUGUCAUGGUGGAAGUAUAACCAAAAAUAUCCCCGCCUCUCCCUCGCGUACAUCAACAUCCAAGUGCUCUUUCUGCUCGGUCUUGCCUGGCUCGUCGCCUUCCUUACGAGCGAAUACCGUCAGACGAUGGAGGCGAUGCGGACGCCUGGGGCGAUGGUCGGCGAGCACCGCGGCAGAGGACCGGCAACGAACAGCACGCAGAAAAUUUCGUUUGAAAAGGAUGAGAUGAACGCGCUGCUCGACAAGGCGCAGAACAAUUGGUACGACGGCAAGGCAGAGGCGUCCUACGUGGGGUCCAAGGCGUACACGAUGAAGAAGAUCCCGCGCCCGAAGGAGUUCUCCGCGGAUGACUUCCGCAAGCGAUAGGUGACGCGAGGGGACGCGGCGUGAGAGAAUCGCAACUGCAGCGAAAUGGGCCUCGGCGCGUCUAGUGCGUAGUUACGCGUCUGCUGAUGACGGUGGUGACCUGGUUUCUUUUUCGCUCGAAACGCGCGAUGAUGACGGGAGGGGAGGGGGCGCCCCUCUCCGCGCGUGGCGUCUGAGGGUCCCGCACCCAGCUCUCCGUGUGGAAGGCGGCCGAGCAGCCCCCCUCCCCCUGCUGUAUCCCUGCCAAAUGCCGAACCGCCUGCGGUGCGGACAUGGCCAAGUGCCGACGACGUGUGGGAGGUCUGGGCGCCGUGUGGGAGCGACGUGUGAGGCGGGUGGUGAGUGGGUGGAGCUUGCGGCAGGGGGUCGUGCUCUCCGAUGCCUGAGCCGGCGCAUUGCUGGAAGGCGUGCGUCCAGGGCUGCGUCGCACGACGCGAUGGGUGGCCCGUGGCAGGGCCGGUGGGGUGCGGAGUUGAGUCUCACCUCCUGGUGAAUGGCAGAGGCAGUGGCCACACGUUGAGUAAAGAAGGGGCCGAAGUGCCUGCGCGUGAGGGCCGCGCCACCGGUGAGCAGCAACAAACGCUUCCUGCUUUUCUUUGAGAAUGGGCAGGCGGGCUGAUGCUCGCCGACGCAUCCCGACUUCCGUACUGGCAUCUCGCCGGGGUAGUGGGAGCGGAUUGCUGGAACAUGCACAGACACGCUGGCCGAGACGCCACGAACAC
rnacentral:misc_RNA from 1 species